ensembl:lncRNA
GGAGUCCCUAGUUGAACCACAGGCAUCAUUUUGAUCACCAGGCUCAAGCUGUCUCCCCCAUUAAACUGGCAACCAGGGCUGCGUAUGCAACCGAAGGCUGGGUAAAGAAUCAUUCCAAGCCCCUAGAGCAGGCUGAGAGUGAAGGCCACACCGCCUAAAGGUAGAGUUCUGGCUGACCCUGGAAUGGGUGCAGAUGGGGAAGCUUUUGCCUCACAAACUAGGCUUCUUUGCCUUUCAACAUCAUUGCUUAAAUUUCCCAGACACAGCAAGCUGUGUGGUCAGGCUGCCAGUCGUCACUCCAGCCCUGGCCUCACUGUUGGCUCUUUAGCAUCUUCAGUUACCUUGGGGGGUGGGGCACCAGCCCAGGGUGCUCGCUAGUUCCUGGUCACCCACAUCCUCAGGGGUCUACAGGGCAUCCUAGGCCCGGCACAAAGCCUCCGUGCUUCUCUUCCUCUCCUUCAUGGGAGAUGGUGCUGUAUUUCCAAGGCGUGGGCUGGAGGGAUGCAGACUUUGAAAAGAUAAAUGGUAAAAUAACCUAUACCUAAUGCCUAGGUCGGGUGGUAGAUAUUUUAUCCCAGUGCCCUUGACCUGGGACUAUAAAAUGUUUACCCACACCGGCACACAGACAUACACACCCACCACAAAAGAGAUCUACAAUGUUGCCAUACACAAACACAAUAUAUUCACCACACAUGCAAAAUACACAGAGACCAAAUUAAUGAAAAGGGUGUACUCAAAAGAUAUACGCUUAUAUCUGUAUCCAGAAUAUGCACACUCAGCCCAGACGUGGAAUGUACAUAUAGAACAUACGUGAAAGACCUACAAACACCAUGUAAAAGACACAACCUGCAACUCGGAUGCAAACCAUACAAAAUGACGUGGUCAUACAGAGUGUACACAAAUACCUGCAUACACCAUGUACAAAGACACAGCUCAUGCAAAACACACAAAAACAACAUGGACACAUGGGUACACAUGUGGAAUACACCCAAGAUAAUUUACUAUUGUUUGCAUGCAAAAUACACACAAACUCAGUUUAUACACCCAAUACAUCUAUUCAUAGUAAGCACACAAACUACAGCAUACAUACCCAAGAAAUUACACACAAACACACACCUCAAAUAUACUGAGAUCCAUUCCUCUGCCCCCAUAUCUAUAAAUAGGCAUAAACAAAAGAUCAGAUUUAAUCACCUUUCCCUAGCCUGCAUCUCUCCCCCUCAGUAUCCUUCAAGAAAUCUCUUCCACUAGUCUCUUUCCCUCUUACUCCCAGAUUUCAGAAAAAUAACCUCAAGGCUUAAAGCAAAAAGAUGGGCCACCGUGGUCAAACAGAUUUCUUGUUACGACUGGGAAUCUCAUUGGGUUUCUACCUAUUCACCUUCCUCCCACCAGAAACCCGGGUGCCAAGUGUGGAAGGCCCUGGGACAACUGACAGCCCAUUAAUACACACCUUUUGGCCAUGCCUUUUCUCUCAAAGAAAAUCCACACAGACAGUGCAGUAGCUCAGGCGCCCCCAAUCCCAACCCUUGGGAUCUCUGGAUUCAUCCCCAUCCUCUUGAAAGCAGCGUGGGCUCAAAAAUCUGCAGGGUCCUGGGCCCAGAAUGAGAAUGAAGAUGCCCCCAACAUUCUUUCAGCCCACAGAUCUUACUGCUCCUCCAUCCCCAGCGGCUUUGUCGGGGCCUGGGUCAGAGUCAAGACCCUAUAUAGACUUUAUCUCGUGAAACGAGUCACCUUUACUUGCUUGUGGCAUCUCACUUGCUCUUGGGUGUAAGCCCAGUGGGGUCAACUCCUGAGUCCCCCCAUGAGUGCGCCAUCCCAGGCAGGCUUUUCCACUUGCCCCAGCUCCACCUGGACACCUGUCUUCCAUCUGAUGGCUGUACCUUGAGGAAACACACACCAAUUCAGCUUAUGUAAAACUUGGUUAAGGAUGUAAACCUAACGUUACACAAGCAAACAAGUCUUUUUUAGAAGGUCUGUUUCAUAUCCUAUAUCCUAAGGCCAGAUUUAAAUGCUUUGUAAGAUUAUGUGCUGUUUUGGAGUUACCCGCAGAGCUGGCUCUUCCCACUAGUAGGACUAGCUGAGAGCUAGGUGUGUUUUGGCAAAGGCCUCACCUCAGAUGGAAGUUGGGGAGUCGAAGUCAGGCAUCAGAUCGAAAUCAGAUCCUCACGGCCUCUACUCCUGCUGCCAUCCAGGCUGUGUCCCACCUGCCCUCCUAAACAUGGUCACAGCUCCCCGUCUUCCAGGAAGGAAGCAGCAGGGGAUGAGCGUGUGGAUCCAUAUUUGCAUACUUAGUGCAAUGUGCUGGGCCUUUCAAGUGUUUUCAAGUCAAAAUAUCCAUUGUCCCUUUAGCUUCAGUAGGUGCCUCCUUGGCUCAAACUUUCAAGGAAGUUGGAGUUCUCAGAAGUCUAAAGAGAAAGAGGUCCAGGUUGGGUGGAGAGGGUGUCAGGAAGAAAGGGUAACCGAGCUAGUCAGAUUUCAGAGUCAACUUUUUAGAAGCUGAAAUUUAGUUAAGGUCAUAAUGAAGCUCUGUGCUUCCUGAAGCUUCUGUGGUGUUUGACAUACCCUUCCUCUCUGCUUCCUCUGCCCCUCUCAGCUGGGCCUCUGAGGAUGGAGUAGGCGUGAAAUCAGGAGGUUAGCCUUGAAAGGGGGCCCCAAAGGAGCAUGCCCCUAGACUUCAUUGGCCUGAUGUGGAAAGGGCUCCCAGGACAGAUUUUUUGGCCUGAGCCUACAGCCUGGGUGCUCAUGUGGCUGCCCCAUGUGGGGAAGGCUGCAAGACUAGCUUGUCCUGUCUGCUGUCCCUGGAUCUCUCACUCCAUUGUACUGAGGUCUUUGGCCAACUUCCUCACUCAUGGUCAGCCAUAAAACAUCAAUAGCAUCUUUAUAGAGGGCAGGCUGGGGCUUCCCUGCUGCCCACGGUACUGGAAAAGAGAGGCAGAGACUGACUUUCCACAAAGGAAACCAUAGGAUGGUUUGCAAAUUUUAUAUGAGAGUGGCACCAGACCCCCAUGGCAGACAGGAGGAGCACACUGCUUUGAAUUGUUUCCCCAGGAGUGGGGAUGGUGAGCCCUGUGCCAGCUCUGGUUCUCCUGUUGCCGUAACAGCCUCCAUCCUGGUGAUGGCUGUCUGGUCUGAGAGGACUGGUCCACAUAGGCUAUAUUGUCGAGGGUGCUCCUUGGUUACACACUGGAGGCUCCCCCAGCCUUGGCAAAGUGUCCAUUGGCAGAUUUGAGCCCACAAACUCAACCUCAUUAACAUUGUUCACCACCUGAGCCAACCAGCAGAGCGCUGGAUGCUGGGAGGUGUCCAAAUGGCUAGUGUGAUCUUCAUCUAGAUCCAAAGACUUGGCCCUUGUUGAAACCAGCCCUGUUCUCUCAUCAGAGCAGCAAGCAGAGAUGGGUGGAGGUGAGGGAUCCCUGACAAGCUGGAAUGAGUCUCAUUAUCAAAUGAACCUAGUUAUCUUUUCCCUUCUUUCUGCUUCCCUUCCCACCAACGUUCAGCUCCAUCUCUCAUAGUUUAUUUUUUAAAGAGGAAAAGUGCAAUAAACUAAAUAGUGACUGUUUUCUUUAGCAAUAGCUAUUUCAAAAUCUUGUUCUCAGGACUGAAAAGUGUAGUACCUGGAUUCUCAGAUAAUGCCCUUGGCUUCUGGGCAUCAGUUCACUGUCUCUGUAGCUCCCUCCUCCUCCCACAUGGUCACGUGACCCCUGCGCUAGGAGGCCCUGGCCCUCCUCUGGAAUGUAAACACACGAGUCUGAUAUCUGCUCACGGAAGGUCCAGGAGAAGACUUUCUUUGUCACUCUGACUCCUCCCCGUGUGCACCUCUCUCUGUCUCUGUGUGCAUCUCUGUCCCUCUCGCCUUCCACCUGCCCCCUUCUGCCUGCUCUCACAUGGCAUUCUCACAACCUCUGGGCACUGAAACCUUGAGUUUGAGUGACCUCACACCAGCCCAUCUCACGGACUUUCAGUCAGACUGGCAGGGUGUAAUGGAAGCCUGCAGGAAAGCAUUUACCAAUAGAUAAGAAUAAAGCAUCCUGAGCCAUUACAGAAGAUCAUUUCCAUGCACUAAAAGCCAUUACUUGAUCCAUUUGUUUCCCUCCCUCCCCUCCCUUGGGAGAUGGAUGCCAGAGGAAUGUGGCCUGGAGGUGUGCACCUGAGAUGGGUCGCCUGGGCUGAUUUGGGGAAUUGCCCUCUGGCUGCCCUUCAAAAUAAGCUGACUUGCUUAACCAAAGGUCUGCCGUGAGAGCUGUGGAGGAAAGCAAGUGUUGUGGAUAGAGGUCUAUAGGGACAGUGUUUGUGGGUGGUUAGGGCUUGACAGUAGCGAAACAAAGACCCCACCACCCACUAUAGUGUACUGUUGCACAAAUAUUUGCACAUGUUAACUGGGGACUUUAGAAGAGCCUCCUUUCCUGGGGGGAAAAAAAAAAUCUGUGCAGCUGAAUUUUCAGACUAGACGAUCAGGGAAGGCUGGCAACUCCAGGGUCCCACCGCAUUCCUUUUCAAUCUACCUUGCUCUAUACCCGUGUAUACAGCAAAACCUCAGUUAACUGACGGGGAAAUCCUCAGGGAAGGAAGCCGUCUGAUGGCUUUACAAUUAUGGGUUUUUUGGGUGGGAAGGGGAAAAUGUGUUUUGGUUCAACCUUUGUUAUGGGGGAAAAAAAUCUUUCCUAAGUUGGUUAGUACAAACUUUCCUGCCUUAGUAAGCAGAAUGUUUGAAGUUGACAGGAGACCUUGCAUUGCUCAGGGUCAGUAUUCUCAACCUCAGUGCUCAUUGUACAGAAGUAUGAUUGGAGAAGACCAAAGAAAUAGGCUAAAUGUCUGCUGGCUACAAGACAUCUCUGGAAGUUGGACAUUUGGGCUCAUUAGAUAAUACCCUUGCCAUCAUUUGCCUCUUUCUACUGGAAGCAGAGUAAGAAAACAUAAUUCUUGUUAGUCAAGGUUUUGGUUAAUUGGUCCUGAGUUAUCAGAGGUUUUCCAUAUAUACAUAUAUCUGUGUAUAUAUAUAUGUAUAGUAUAUGUAUAUAUGUAUACCAUUGUUUCAAAAAAUUAUACAGUUAUACAGUGACCAAUCCCCUUAGCUUCACUAAUGUGGAAUACAUUUGGCAACCCAAGAAAUACUGCAUUUAUUUGAAUUUUUAAAAUGACCUCCCUUUGCAUUCUUAACCAUCACUUCAGUUCAACUUUUUUUCUCCUGCACAGGGACUUUUCUAGAAGGUAGUUCUUUCAUAACAGAAGAUCAGGCUCCAGCAUCUUUCCUUUCCCAGAUGGCUGCCUGACUCAGGGAUAAAAGGGAAGUCUGAUCUAAGAGCCAAGUGCUUUAUCCUUUGUUCUGCCUGUCCGACAGGAAAAGUUAUUACAAACUUUGUAGUUCUGGGUGAGGGGAAAGGUUAAAGACCUGGCAAAGGACAGAUCUCUUUUGCUUUCUCUUUGUCAUCGGUGGUAACCUAGGCUUGAAUUUCAUGAGAUCUGAAAAUAAUAGCUAAAGAACACCUCUGCCCCAUGGAAGGUGAGAUGUGUAGCAACCCAUGAAACUACCAAAUCCAUCCUCUUGUUGAGUCUGACCAAAUCUAGGUUGUGGGUGUAGGCAGUAGAGCACCCAUAAUUCAGCUGCCUCUUUGGAGAAACACCUGGGUCUGACCUGAACCGUGCUCUCAUUCUCCAUUUCCCUGGCAGUGUGGUAGACCCAUGGGAGACAGCUCCAGCCUCGCCUCCUGCAAUUGACUGUAUGUGUUCUGCCUAGACGUGGGUGGGAGGGGUUCCUGUUAUCUGAUGCAGUUGAGAUAGAGCCGGGGUGCUUGCCCUCUCUCAACAUUCCCAGCAUUAGUGUAUGUACUAGCAGUCAGCUAGUAGAAUCUCAUAAACCAGACUUAGCAUGGCCAGGUGGUAAACUGGAGCAACCGAGGCAGCUUCUCUGGAUGGCUCCUUCUUACACUGCCUGAACCUCAGCAAGGAAACGGAUAUAACUUUCUGUGCUCCUCUGCACUCUUAAAAUAGUCAGAUAUGUUCCAGAUAAGUGUGCAGCUGAGAACUGCCUGCAUCAUUCCACGGACAGAUGCACCAGGCAGGUGUAAUUACAUAACAGUGUGGACAGCUGCUACAACAUCUAGGUAAUUGAGGGCAGUGUAAACGUGGCUGUGAGCUAGGACCUUUGAUAGCUACUCAGAGAGGACUCGGUCCUGGGGUCUCUUCUCCAUUCUCCUGAGAGGACUGUAAGCCUUGCCUCUACUGGAAGUUGAUUCCCCAGACACUGACUUUGUUGGUAUGAGCACAUUAACACUCUGGGCUGCUAGAGAAAGCAAGACAAGGAGCUGGGAAGGACAGGAUUUACAGGGGUUUGCUUUGCUACUCAUUUCCAUGUCCGUGCUGACAUGCCUGCCUUUUGAGCUUGUGAAGUGCAGGGUGAGGACUGUGAUUGCAGGUAGGGCUGGAAAGGAGCAAGCAGCCGCAGGCUAAGGAGUGGGAGAGAAAAGCAGGGAGAGCAGCCUGGCUGGCUUUGGCGAGGGUGAGUGUCAACUCUGAAGGGUCUGAAUAUGCUCCGUGCUUGCCCCAGUUCCACCUUCACGUGGGAUCCGGCGACCCAGUUUCCCUUUGUUGUUGUGCUUGGAUGAUUCCUUCAUUUGAAGGGCCCCAGGAAGCUGGAGCGUCCCAUGAUCCAGCUCCAGCCUGCUGAGCAAACAAUGCCCUGGCCAAAUUGGCCUCUGACUGGGUUUCUGCAUCCUUGCACCCCUUGCUCCACUAAAGGUAAUCUUGGAACAAUCUGGAUUAAUCAUGCCAGCAACCAAGAAGGAUUCUCUAGUUUUCAUCAGGGACACAGCUGUAAAGCUCAUGAGUGCACAAUGCUAUUUCCUUUUCUAGACCUGUGUGUGUAUGUGCUUCUAUAGGCUGUCUCUGGAGAUUGUAUAUAUUGCAUACAUAUAUAUAUAAAAUGUGGAAAUGGCCACUCACUUAGGCUCACACAGCACAGAUUCCAAUUAGGGUUUGCACUGGCUUCCUUGCUGCUCAGGCAUGGCUCCACAGCUGCCUCUGUGUCCUAGCUCUAAUAAUUUCUGAAAACUCAAAGAGCAGAGACAGAAAAAUAAGCCUUCCUGGGAUCAAUAGGAGAAGGAACUCCAGGGCUGACGGUAAAGCUCCGUAAGCAUGAUGCCAAAAGGGAAUCGGGGUCUCCAUGGUGAUAAGAGACUGUGGACCAAUGGGAGCUGAAGGCGGAGCAGGACUUGUGGGGAAGACUCAUGGGAGUUGGGAGUCAUUUAACUAUUUGUUUGCUUCGUGAAAAUUUAGACACCAGCUAUAACCGCAUUGCACAGGAUGUAUAGGUAUUAUCAUUCUUGCUGACAUAUUCUGGAAGCUUUCAGCCCCACCAACACUGCCCCGCCCAGGACUUCUGCAGCUGAGAGUUUCUGUGUCAGUAGGGUCUGAUAUUUGUACAUAGGUUAUACAUAAAUGUGUACAUAUGUGCCUCAAUGAACAUUGCCUGUCCACCUGAUCAUAAGUGUACAUAGACUUCAUGGAGCUCCACGGUCUUUUGUAAAUAUCAACACAAGUAAAUAAGUAUAUAAAUAUAUAUUACUGAGGAUUUAUUUUAACAUCAUUCUGUGUGAAAUGAAAGAAAGAAAUAAAAUUUUUGACAGAC